rnacentral:SRP_RNA from 1 species
CGGUGAGCUAGACCGGGAGGUUGGGCGUCUCCUAUUCUCUCAAACCGCCCUUAUGGAGAGGUUGAAGCCCGGGGGGCGAUUUAUCCUCCCUGUGCUGGUCUGAAUCUUCAACUAUGAACUAUCGUCUCACCGGAUUUGUCGCCCUGGGAACCGGGUCAGGCCUUGGCGGGAGCAGCCCUAACCAAGGUGGACAAUGCUGGUGAGGUCGCGGUAGCGAGACGGGAAUCAGGUAGCCCGCACUUGGAUGAUGAUUCCACCUUCGGGCGUGCUCGCCA